CAUCUUGUUACUUCAGUGAAAAACUCCUUCAAGAUUCAGACUUCAACACUGAUCUUCCAAUCUUCAAGCUUCAAAAACACCCUCGAGUACUCUACUUGAAAAAUGACUUUGCAGAUCUUCAAAUAUUCGCUCAAAGAAGAUAAAAGCAAGAAAAGGUGCAAGUAUAGUUCGUAUAAAACCACUUUUUGUCUAUGAAAAACCACUAAAUCUGUUUGUAACAGCUCUGUGGCAGGUUUGUGCCCGGCAAAGCAUCCUCGUAGCAUUUAUAUGAAAUAAUGACGUCAAACGUAACCACGCUAAUCGUACAAUGACGUUCUAUGGCAAGUGAUAACCAACCUGGUAAACCAGUAACAUCGAUGCAUCCUCGAGUACGUGUUUUUUUAAAAACAGGUAUCCACCAAACGGGGGUGAAACGUGACGUUGACCAAGAGGCAUGCUCACGUCAAUCCUGAUCAAACACUGGCAAUUCUUCGUCGUUUGUCUCACCUGCUACGUAGGAAAGUGUUUGAUGUUCAAUUAACGAUCGCUGAUUGUGCUGCACUAUGAUUCAUUUUACGCGGAAGUUGAUUGCACGCCAUGGCUAUGAAAUUACGCAACAAACCACUAGAAGAGCUUGUGCUUCAACGAUACACACUUUAUUCAGUAGAAGAACGUGGUUCAUUUAUACGUAUCAAAUGAUCGUUUACUGGAUGGGAAUUUACGAGCCUCUUGUGGAGCCAUGUAAAAUGAGAUUAGAGACUCAGAAUACCAGUUCCAUGGAACUAAAAGUAAAAGAUUGGUCUGGUGAGUAAUUCCACUGUAUACUUCACACUGCUUCACACUGUAUACACCAAGCAGAAAACUCAUGUUAAUGAUUGAUUCGGCCUCCUCGUGCACGGUUUCGCUGCUUUCGGUAGUAGUUUCACUUUUAGAUCUGAAAGAAAUCACCAGAUGAGGGUAUUUCGUGGCUGCUGGGAAGACAAGUACGAGAAAUAAAGAAAACAAGCACAAGGCAAAACGGAUUAGUAAUAGACCAGGUCUGUUAGAGACACGAGGAUCGAGUUAGACCUGUUAGUAUAUGGGAAUUGGUCGACUCGAUUUCACUCAUACCAAUCUUCCCGGGUGGAAUUGUUAGGUGAAACAUUCUGUUGAGGGAACCGUUCGACAGGUUUCGGUAUCAAAUACGCUAAUAAGAUAUCUUAAUUACAAAGCAUAUCAUUUUUACAUACGCGAACUUCAAUUUAAAAAAAAAAGAAAGAAAAGAAAUAUACAUAUACAUUGGCUACUAAAAAUAUUUGUACAUAUCCUUAUUUUCCAAUGGAAUGUGUUUCUAUCGCGUUCUAUACAUCUCAUUUUCAUAGUAUUCAAUUUUUGUAAUCAUAUGAAAUUUAAUAUAAGUAUAAUAUAAAUAAAUACUAUGCUAUGUGCAAAUACUUUUUGUAGCCAUUGUAUAAUGCAAAGAAUGUAUUCCCAUUGUAACAUAUAAUUUCUAUUGGAAAUACUACAUCUGGACUGCGGAUAUUUAUACAUAUUUAUAUUUCCAUGAACAUAAUCGAAGAGAUCAAACCUAAACAGAAACGUUUUUCAUUUAUUACACAUUACAGAGAGUGUUAUAUUUGGGAUAUUUUAUAUAUUAUCGUACAUUGUAUGCAUCUUUGCAUUUUCACGUAAAUGUGUAAAGAUCCACAAUCUAGAUACAUCUAAAAAAUACAGUUUUUAUCCUUUCUAUCUUAUAUAAUUUUUCAUACGAAUGUCAAUAUCCAAAACUUGUCGACCGGUCAAGUUAGUCAAAUAGGGGGGUAGUGGAAUGAAAAAAAAGUUGGAAAGUACGAAAAAAUCCUUUCCUGUAUUGAUCGAUCUAAAUAUGCAAAUCGGGGAACCUCGUCUACGAGUAGUUCUUGCUUUGCUUUUUUUUUUUGUUCGUUCUACAUUUGGGAGUAAAAAAACGAAUAUGCGUCGUGAGGGCAUCGAUGCUGCCGCGCAUAUCGACCUUUUUCUGCUCUCUUUCUCUUUCUUGUCGCAUAAAUAACAUUUUAUUGCAUGCAAACCAUUUCCUCAUGCUAUUCACUGUUUUCUUAUUUUUUUGUUUUGAUCUAAUGUUCUCUAGUUGGGACGUGUAAAGAAGCGAAGUGACGUUUCAAAUGAAUUUCUCCAUUAAUUCUCGUUCUGAUAUUGUUUCUCUUUUCAUAUAGCCAAUCGGAAAUAAAUUGCAUAAAAAUUUGAUUUUUCUUUCUUCCCCAAUUUUCGCGAAUCAGUAACGCAUUAUCUCAUUUCACUUCUUUCGACCCUCUUCCUCUACGAUUCAGUCUUCUCUAAUUCUACCAAGUGUUACGUUUCCAUUUGUCAUUCGUGUGUAUGUAUGUGUGUGUCUGUUCUCGUUUUACAUUUAAAAUACCAUGUCUCGAUACAACUUCUACCACGGUGUACAUCGUAAAUGUGAAUAUUAACAGUUAACUGCGUAGAAGUAGAGUCGCAAGGAUGCAGUUUGACCUCAGGGAGAAGUAACUUCCUACCAUUGCCCAUGUUCUAUUUGUUUUUUCCGGAAGGACAACAUUAAUAUCGUUAUCUAAACCCUGAUCUUCGUUCUUGCUUUCCUGGUCCUUAUACCGUAUUUCAUUUGUUUGCUUCCCUUUCCACACGCGCAACUCCAUUCUUAAGUUUUAGACGACCUGACUUGUCAAAUUAAUUGAUCAAACCACGAGAAUGCCUUCUCUUUUUUGUCUUGUUGGGAAGAAUUUAGUGACAGGUAAAAUAAACAUCCCUGAAAGUAUAAUCUGUAAAUACAUUAAUUUUGUUACUCAUUACAUUGUGGUUUUAUGAUAUUAAAAAGAAAUGUGUGUAUAUAUAUAUAUAUAUAUAUAUAUAUAUAUAUAUAUAUAUAUAUAUAUAUAUAUUAUUUGGUAUAUAGAAGAAAAUUAGUUUUGUAAUUAGUGACCUUUUCUACUUAGCUCUUGAAUUGAAUUUUACCAGUACACUAGAUAUCUUCCAUGAAGUAUUAUUGCAUUAUCGAGUUCUAUGAAGUUUGCAUUUAAAAAAAGUCUUCUGUUUUCAAAUACUAGCCUGUGAAAAAAUAAUUAUAAUAAACUAUAAAUCAUAAAUCUCGUGACUCGAUCAUUCGACAGUCAGGUAACAAUAGAUUUACUGGAACGAUUAUCUAUUUCUAAAUAUAUAUUACAUGUAUAAGUAUAUAUUGUCGGAUAAUAAAGGAUUCACUUGCUCGAUGAUUACGCUCUUCCAAAAAGGCGAGGGGUUGCGUACAGUGUCGUAACUCUAUUUGAAUGCUACUACAGAUCGUAUUCUCACUAUUAUGACUCCCUUCUUUUCUCUUCCCUUGUCUUUCGUAGGAGUAGGCACUUAGCUAUAUGUUUCUGCGGUUCCUUGUAGUGUCGUAACGAGUUUAUGUCUAUUGUAUACGACGGAGAGAUUACUGGAUGGAGAAAAACUGAAAUUGUAUACGGAAGCCUCCCCUCUUCGUCUUUUUUUUUUUUUUUUUUUUAUACUUUUCUUUCUUUUAAAUCUUCUUCUGAGCUCGAUCGUCCGAUUUCUAUAUAUAUAUAAAACAUGUUUCUAUCAUAUAA